rnacentral:rRNA from 1 species
CUCGUAGGCGGUUCGUCGCGUCCGGUGUGAAAGUCCAUCGCUUAACGGUGGAUCUGCGCCGGGUACGGGCGGGCUGGAGUGCGGUAGGGGAGACUGGAAUUCCCGGUGUAACGGUGGAACGUGUAGAUAUCGGGAAGAACACCAAUGGCGAAGGCAGGUCUCUGGGCCGUUACUGACGCUGAGGAGCGAAAGCGUGGGGAGCGAACA